UUACGGCCAUAUCAGGUUGAAACACCGGUUCCCGUACGGUGACCAAAGUUAAGCAACGUCGAGCCUGGUCAGUACCUAGACGGGUGACCGCUUUUGAAUACCAGGUACUGUAA